GCCACCACGGGUUUAGUCUCCCACUCCUUCCGUGAUUCCUCAAAUUUCUCCUCCGGGAUGAUGAGGAUCUAUGUAAAGUGGCGUUGGUGAGAUUGGCCCUGUACCACCAUCGCGCACGAUAACCCUGCUAAUAAGCUCCACAGGAGGCAUCUUCCUUGAUCCUCGUCCUUCUUUGGUUUGUAGUUAUUUGUUGGAGGGAAUUAGCGUCGCUUCAGUCGCUCCAGUCACCCAUAAGAUGUUCGGAAUC
rnacentral:lncRNA from 1 species